rnacentral:rRNA from 1 species
UACGAGGGGGGCGAGCGUUGUUCGGAAUUACUGGGCGUAAAGCGUGCGCAGGCGGUUUGCUAAGACCGAUGUGAAAUCCCCGGGCUUAACCUGGGAACUGCAUUGGUGACUGGCAAGCUAGAGUGUGGCAGAGGGGGGUAGAAUUCCACGUGUAGCAGUGAAAUGCGUAGAGAUGUGGAGGAAUACCGAUGGCGAAGGCAGCCCCGUGGGCCAACACUGACGCUCAUGCACGAAAGCGUGGGGAGCAAACAGG